rnacentral:rRNA from 1 species
AAAAAGCUCGUAGUCGAAAUUGUGUCCUCGGCCGCCGGUUCGUCGCUCGCGACGCCAACUGGCGCGCACGUUGGACGUCCAGCCGGUACAACGAACUCGCCUACGGGGUGCUCUUAACCGAGUGUCUAGGCGGGGGCCGGCAACGUUACUUUGAACAAAUUAAAGUGCUUAAAGCAGGCUAAAUUGCGCUCGCAUACACGCGCAUGGAAUAAUCGAAUAGGACCUCCGUUCUAUUUUGUUGGGUUUUUGUGGAACGACAGACGGAGGUAAUGAUCAAUGGGUGCGGAUGGGGGCAUUCGUAUUGCGACGUUAGAGGUGAAAUUCUUGGAUCGUCGCAAGACGGACUUGAGCGAAAGCAUUUGCCAAAAACGCUUUCAUCGAUCAAGAACGAAAGUUAGAGGUUCGAAGGCGAUCAGAUACCGCCCUAGUUCUAACCAUAAACUAUGCCAGCUAGCGAUCCGCCGAAGUUACUUCUAUGACUCGGCGGGCAGCUUCCGGGAAACCAAAGCUUUCGGGUUCCGGGGGAAGUAUGGUUGCAAAGCUGAAACUUAAAGGAAUUGACGGAAGGGCACCACCAGGAGUGGAGCCUGCGGCUUAAUUUGACUCAACACGGGAAACCUCACCAGGCCCGGACACCGGAAGGAUUGACAGAUUGAGAGCUCUUUCUUGAUUCGGUGGGUGGUGGUGCAUGGCCGUUCUUAGUUGGUGGAGCGAUUUGUCUGGUUAAU